CGCAGCCGCGGUAAUUCCAGCUCCAAUAGCGUAUAUUAAAGUUGUUGCAGUUAAAAAGCUCGUAGUUGAAUUUCGGGGUCAGUAGGUUGGUCGUGCCACUGGUAUGUACUGGUCUCACUGAUUCCUCCUUCCUGAUGAGCCGUAAUGCCAUUAAUUUGGUGUUGCAGAGAAUCUGGACUGUUACUUUGAAAAAUUAGAGUGUUUAAAGCAGGCUAACGCUUGAAUACAUUAGCAUGGAAUAAUGGAAUAGGACGUUCGAUCCUAUUUUGUUGGUUUCUAGGAUUGACGUAAUGAUUAAUAGGGAUAGUUGGGGGCAUUAGUAUUCAAUUGUCAGAGGUGAAAUUCUUGGAUUUAUUGAAGACUAACUACUGCGAAAAGCAUUUGCCAAGGAUGUUUUCAUUAAUCAAGAACGAAAGUUAGGGGAUCGAAGACGAUCAGAUACCGUCGUAGUCUUAACCAUAAACUAUGCCGACUAGGGAUCGGAUGAUGUUAAUUUUUAAUGUACUCAUUCGGCGUCCUU
rnacentral:rRNA from 1 species